GUGCCACCACCAGUCUCCACCACUAUUCUGAGGCAGAAUGCACCUAUUGGCUCACAAUGCUGUGAAAGAAAACAAGAAAGUCGUGAUGAUAACAAUGCAGUGUCUUCAUUCAUAAUGGAUUGCAGUUCCCCACUCAGGAAGAGGACAUUUUUUUUAAAACUACAUGAUACAACUGAGAGCUUGGAAGCUAUCCAUGCAUAAGUUUUAAAACCCAGCAGCUUCAUGGUUUCCUCCUUCUGUUGGCCUGGCCAGUGGACACAGUGGUCACGUUCCUGGCAUGGAGAUGUCAUUCAUGGUCUCUCAGACCCAAGUGUUACCAGUGAAGGGUGUCCAGGUUCUUGGCGCUUUGAACAAAGAAUUGGACAAAACUCACAAACAAAGCAAGAAAAGAAAGAAGCAACAAAAGCAGAGAUGUAUUGAAAAUGAAAACACACUCCACAGGGUGGGAGCAGGCCGAGCAAGCAGCUCAAGGGCCCAGUUACAGAACUUUCUGGGGUUUAAAUACCCUUUAGAAGUUUCCAUUGGUUACUUGGUGUACACCCUAUGUAUAUGAAGUAGUGGCCUGUGAUCAGUCUGAUUGGUUGGAAGGGACCAAUCAGAAUGCAAACGUCUGAUUAGUUGUGGAAAGUGACCAAUUAGAGGCUGAAGUGAAGUUACAAAGUAAUACUCCCACGCAAAUGAAGACUUGGCCCACAACCAACCUGAUUGGUUGUGAGAGGGGACCAAUCAGAGGGACUUUCAGUUUUUCACCUGCAAUGCAGAAAAAGGGUGGCAGGUGAGGGGUGUUGCAAAGGGAGUAGCCUCUGGUCCUUUUGUUACUUGGGCACUUGGGCGUGGAAAGUGGGGGUUUUCCUUUUGAUUUAGUUCUAGGAAGUCAGCGUGAAUUGGCCUUACAUUCCCUGCCUCCAGACCCUAUUCUCCUGCCUCACAAGUGCUCCUAGGAGCUGUACAUGCCUGUCUUUGUCCCCAUGUAGUCAGCUCGUUACAGGUGGGUCCUGCUGGGUCUUUCGUUCUUGCUUCUCUGCUUCAAGAUGGCUAAUAAGUCCUGGUCCAGUGAGUCCCCAGUGCAGACAUAGAGCAGAAGGGAAGUGGGUCCAGUUGCAUUUCCUGCAGUUUAAUAAAGAACCCUGUGCUCUCUGGCCCAUUACCUAAAGCUGAUAUUGUGCUUGGAACGUGUAGUGUUAUCCAAUCCAGCUUUACCACUGCUAAAGCUGAUACCACGCUUUGAUCCUCUGCUUGCUCAUUUUGCCAAGUUCUUAACUGCGUGGAACUGGAAGGUGAGGGCUGGAUGAUUGAUUUUUCACCCUGCCCCCAAACUCCAACAACCGAAACCAAGGGUUCUUGAAGAGAGAGGGGCAGGGCAGCAACAGGGAGACUGAAACUUGGGGUGGGGGGGGGGCGGGGGGAGGGGGGCGGACGGAAUGUUUUUGAAGUGUGUGUUUGCCUAAGGUGUGUGUAGAAAGGUAGCUACUUUUCAGUCUCUGCCUGCCUUUAAUCCAUUACAAUGUCCUAAUUAAAAACAUUUAAAAAGCUACAUUGGAAAAUGAUCCCUGAGGCUAGAAUGCUGUUGGCACAGUGAAAAAGACGCAAUCAAUAAGUAAACAGGCAAUGUCAGCCCGGAGAGCUUUCAGAACAACAUGCCUACUCGGGGGAAAAAAAAUUACAAGUCGCUUUAGCCUAUUUAAAUAUUUUCCAAGAUCUUUGUUAAAUUUCAGGUAAUAAUAUUUCUUCCUUUGAACAAGCGUUGUAUGUUUGCCUUUGACUGAGAAUGGCCUAGGCUAGAGACCAUUUGGUAUUCAACUUGUGACUAUUUUAGUAUGGGGCUGGACCCCAAAAAUUCAUGCUCAAUGAAAUGAUUUUCACUUACUGAGAUGAAUUUACUUUUUGCUUCCUUCAGCAAUUCAUCAAUCUAAUGGAAGAAAGAGUAGCUAUCAUCAUAAUGAGAAUAGACUUCUACGAGUAUGAGUCAAUGUCAAUACUUUAUUUAAUAAUGCAAAUUCUAUUACUAUAUAUUUGGUCUCAAUCCAAAUUUGCUUUAAAUUGAGUUUCCUUGCCAUUGCACACUCCUAUCUUUCUGAACACACACCACCCCACACACACACCAUACACACUUGUUUCAUUGCGCUUCAUUUUAUUGCACUUCUCGAAGAAUGUGUUUUUUACAAAUUGAAGAUUUGUGGCAACUUUUCAUCGAGUGAGUCUAUUGGCAUCAUUUUUGCAAGAGCAUAUGCUCACUUCCUGCCUCUGUGACAGCAUUUUUUAGCAAUAACAUAUUUUUAAUGAAGGUAUGUACAUUGUUUUUUAGACAUAAUGCUAUUGCACACUUGACUAAAAUGUAGCCUAAGUAUAAUUUUUAUAUGCCAUGGGAAACUAAAAAAAGUGACUUACUUUAUUGUAAUAUUUGCUUUAUUACUUUGGUCUGGAACUGCCUCACACUAUCUCUGAAGUAUGCAUGUAUAGCUUUUCAUAACACAGAUAUCACAUUUGACCAGAUCCUAUUGUUACUGAACAAUGUUGAUGCUAACAUUGAUGAUAUCAAUCACUAUUACUGGAAUCAUUAUCAACAUAUCAAUAAAUAUUUUUAGAACAUUUAAAAAAAAAAAAAAAAA
rnacentral:lncRNA from 1 species